rnacentral:lncRNA from 1 species
AUAUAUAUAUAUGUUUUAAAAACGUAAAAUAACUUAUUAUUUAAAAUAUCAUAACAUAUAAUAAAAAUAUUUAAAGUCGUAAAGCAAAAAUAUUUCAUAAUAUAAAAGACGCGUAAUAAGAAAUUAGGAUUAAAAUUUUUAGGAUGAGUAAAUAAAAAAUAUAUAUUAAUUAAGAAAAUAUAUUUUGUAAAUAAAAUAUAUAUGUGCGGGUAUCCGUGGGUCCCUGCGGAUUAUCCAAAAUACCCACUGCUUAAUGGGUACCCAUCCGUUUUACUUGUAAUUUUUUGGGUUGGAAAAAUUGGUACCUAUACCCGUAAAUUUUUGGAUAAUCCGCGGGUACCCACGUGUUUGGGUCAAGAUUUCCAGGUCUAGCAUUAAGGGCCCGUUUGGAUUGUAGAUAAGGGAUGGAAUAACCCCUUGUCCCUCUCUUUAUACUCAAAUGCUAAUUUUUUAUUCGAGAAUAGUAGUUCUCGGGUAUCUGAAAUAAGCUGGUAUAACUAUCCCCACCAACACAUCUAUUUUCUAUAUAUAACUACCCACUAUUUUUCUUAUUCGAUCUUAUCUACCUAAACGCUAUUUUUUUAUCCCCGAAAACAACUCAAUUUUCAUCCAAACGCUAUUUUUCUUAUCCCUAUACUUGUACCUAUCCCUGUAAAGGGAUGGGAACUA